rnacentral:rRNA from 1 species
UACCAGCACCCCGAGUGGUCGGGACGAUUAUUGGGCCUAAAGCAUCCGUAGCCGGUCCUACAAGUCUUCCGUUAAAUCCACCUGCUUAACAGAUGGGCUGCGGAGGAUACUAUAAGACUAGGAGGCAGGAGAGGCAAGCGGUACUCAGUGGGUAGGGGUAAAAUCCGUUGAUCCAUUGAAGACCACCAGUGGCGAAGGCGGCUUGCCAGAAUGCGCUCGACGGUGAGGGAUGAAAGCUGGGGGAGCAAACGGG